UACGUAGGGCGCAAGCGUUUAUCCGGAAUUAUUGGGCGUAAAGAGCUCGUAGGCGGUUUGUCGCGUCUGCUGUGAAAACUGGGGGCUCAACCCCCAGCCUGCAGUGGGUACGGGCAGACUAGAGUGCGGUAGGGGAGAUUGGAAUUCCUGGUGUAGCGGUGGAAUGCGCAGAUAUCAGGAGGAACACCGAUGGCGAAGGCAGAUCUCUGGGCCGUAACUGGACGCUGAGGAGCGAAAGCUGGGGAGCGAACAGG
rnacentral:rRNA from 1 species